GAUCCUAAGCCCUAUGAGAAAUCCGAUACUAACGGCGAUGGGAAAAAUUUUUUUACCGAGUAAAACGGCCCAUUGAUCGGGCGAAAGGGAAUCCGGUUCCUAUUCCGGAACCCGGCAGCGGAACCGUAGUUUGUCGGGCCUUCGGGUUCGUCAGGGUAACCUAAAAGGGCCCGGAGACGCCGUCGGGAGCCCCGGAAAGAGUUUUCUUUUCUGCAUGAGCGUUCGAGUUCCCUGGAAUCCUCUCGCAGGGAGAUAGGGUUUGGAACGCGAAGAGCACCGCAGUUGCGGCGGUGCCCGGGAAUUCCCGACGGACCUUGAAAAUCCGGGAGAGGGCCACGUGGAGGUGUCGCGCCGGCUCGUACCCAUAUCCGCAGCAGGUCUCCAAGGUGAAGAGCCUCUAGUCCAUAGAAUAAUGUAGGUAAGGAAGUCGCACUGCUAUGACAU
rnacentral:rRNA from 1 species